ACAGAGAGCACAACACACAGGGUGAAAAGAGGAGCUACAGCAAUGUGAAGUACACAAAAUAUAUGGUGUUUGUUGAAAAUUAUAUCACAUAAACCUAUUUUGGUACAACCUCUAAAUACAAUUAUGAACCUGAAAAUUAGCAGAAUAAGGGCACUUUAA